rnacentral:rRNA from 1 species
AUCAUGGCUCAGAUUGAACGCUGGCGGCAGGCCUAACACAUGCAAGUCGAGGCGGGUAGGGAGGUGCUUGCAUCUCUUGAGAGCGGCGGACGGGUGAGUAAUGCCUAGGAAUCUGCUAGUGGUGGGGAUAACGUUCGGAAACGGACGCUAAUACCGCAUACGCCCGAGAGGGGAAAGAUUUAUCGCUAUAAGAUUAGCCCGCGUGAGAUUAGGUAGUUGGUGGGGGUAAAGGCUCACCAAGCCGACGAUCUGUAGCUGGUCUGAGAGGACGACCAGCCACACUGGGACUGAGACACGGCCCAGACUCCUACGGGAGGCAGCAGUGGGGAAUUUUGGACAAUGGGCGCAAGCCUGAUCCAGCAAUGCCGCGUGCAGGAUGAAGGCCUUCGGGUUGUAAACUGCUUUUGUACGGAACGAAACGGUGAGCUCUAAUACAGUUUGCUAAUGACGGUACCGUAAGAAUAAGCACCGGCUAACUCCGUG